GGGUUGGCCGAGUGGUUAAGGCGUUGGACUUAAGUUCCAAUGGACAAGUGUCCGCGUGGGUUCGUACCCCCCACCC
rnacentral:tRNA from 1 species